UAGGGAAUCUUCGGCAAUGGGGGCAACCCUGACCGAGCAACGCCGCGUGAGUGAAGAAGGUUUUCGGACCGUAAAACUCUGUUGUUAGAGAAGAACACGAGUGAGAGUAACUGUUCAUUCGAUGACGGUAUCUAACCAGCAAGUCACGGCUAACUACGUGCCAG
rnacentral:rRNA from 1 species